rnacentral:rRNA from 1 species
AUGACUGAUGCUUGGACAGAUCACCGUGGAAGGAGCUUAAUGAAUUUGGUUGCCCAUUCUUCCAGAGGUGUGUGUUUCCUCCGUGCCAUUGAAGCUUCAAUGGAGGUUCACGAUGCCAAGUUCAUCUUUAGCUUGGUCAUGUCUUGCAUUUCUGAAAUUGGUGCUAAAAAGAUUGUUCAAGUAUUCACGGACAAUGCAAGUAACAAUAUUGCAGCAGCCAAGUUACUUAAGUAGAAGCAUCCUCAAAUAUUCUGGACCUCAUGUGCAGCCCACACAAUCAACCUAAUGCUCCAAGACAUUGGAAAUAUACCCAUAGUCAGCUCAACAAUUACCAAUUGUAAGACCAUCAGAUAUUUCUUUUAUGCACACACUAGAUUGUUGUCUAUUCUUCGCAAGUAUGCCAAAGGUGAUUUAGUCAGAACUGGUGCUACUCGAUUUGCAAGUCACUACUUGAACUUGAAGAGUUUGUAUGGAAAGAGGAAGCAGCUGAAGCUAAUGUUUGCAUCAAAUGAUUGGGCUGGCAGUAGUUAUGCUAAGAAGCCAUUGGGCAAAUGUGUGUACAAGCUCGUAAUGGACAAUAAGUUUUGGGCCAAGAUAAACCUCCUAGUGAAUUAUUUUGAGCCACUUGCCAAUGUGCUUAGGCGGGUUGAUGGAGACACUCCAGCCAUGGGGUUCUUAUAUGGUGAUCUUCUCCAAGCAAAGCAGGAAAUAGCAGUCCGGCUCAACCAUGUUGAGAAAAAAUAUGGUCCUAUUUGGGAGAUCAUAGAUAGAAGGUGGGAUAACAAGAUGAAAACAGCGCUGCACAAAGCUGGUUAUUUUUUGAACCCUUUCUUCUACUAUGAUAGACAUGUGAAAUGGCUGAAGAAGAUUUCAUGGAAGCAGUCAUAG